rnacentral:rRNA from 1 species
UGACUCUGUUCAACGGCCGCGGUAUCCUAACCGUGCGAAGGUAGCGUAAUCACUUGUUCUUUAAAUGAGGACUAGUAUGAAUGGCACCACGAGGGUUAUACUGUCUCCUUUCCCUAAUCAGUGAAACUAAUCUUCCCGUGAAGAAGCGGGGAUUUACUUAUAAGACGAGAAGACCCUAUGGAGCUUUAAACUAAGCAACAAUUGCUACUAUUUUUUAACUUCCAGAAUGAUAAUUUAUAUUUUAACACUAUGUGUGCUAGUUUUCGGUUGGGGUGACCGCGGAGCAAAAAACAACCUCCACAUUGAAAGGAGUCCCACUCCUUAGCUAAGAGAUACACCUCAAAGCAUCAAAAAUUUGACAUCCAUUGACCCAAUCUAUUGAUCAACGAACCAAGUUACCCUAGGGAUAACAGCGCAAUCCACUUCAAGAGCUCCUAUCGACAAGUGGGUUUACGACCUCGAUGUUGGAUCAGGGUAUCCCAGUGGUGCAGCCGCUACUAAAGGUUCGUUUGUUCAACGAUUAAAACCCU